CGCCUCUUGAAUGUCUAUAAGAGGUCCAGCCUGCCCAGUGACCAUGUUCAACGGCCGCGGUAUCCUAACCGUGCGAAGGUAGCGUAAUCACUUGUUCUUUAAAUGUGGACUAGUAUGAAUGGCACCACGAAGGUUAUACUGUCUCCUUUUUCUAAUCAGUGAAACUAAUCUCCCCGUGAAGAAGCGGGAAUAAAAUUAUAAGACGAGAAGACCCUAUGGAGCUUAAAACAAUAUAGCACUUGCCACAUAACAUAAAAAUUUCCGAAAAAAUUUUAAUUUAUAUUGACAACUUGACUAUAAGUUUUUGGUUGGGGUGACCACGGAGAAUAGCACAACCUCCAUGAUGAACGAACUAUUUUUAAACUAAGACCUACCGGUCUAAGUAUCAAUAUAUUGACAUCCAUUGAUCCAAUAUAAUUGAACAACGAACCAAGUUACCCUAGGGAUAACAGCGCAAUCUACUUCAAGAGCUCCUAUCGACAAGUGGGUUUACGACCUCGAUGUUGGAUCAGGGUAUCCCAGUGGUGCAGCCGCUACUAAAGGUUCGUUUGUUCAACGAUUAAAAC
rnacentral:rRNA from 1 species